AUUGAACGCUGGCGGCAGGCCUAACACAUGCAAGUCGAGCGAGCGGCGGACGGGUGCGUAAUGUCUGGGAAACUGCCUGAUGGAGGGGGAUAACUACUGGAAACGGUAGCUAAUACCGCAUACCAUCAGAUGUGCCCUGGUGGGAUUAGCUAGUAGGUGGGGUAACGGCCAACCUAGGGGACGAUCCCCAGCUGGGCUGCGAGGAUGAUCAGCCACACUGGAACUGAGACACGGUCCAGACUCCUACGGGAGGCAGCAGUGGGGAAUAUUGCACAAUGGGCGCAAGCCUGAUCGAGCCAUGCCGCGUGUGUGAAGAAGGCCUUCGGGUUGUAAAGCACUUUCAGCGGGGAGGCGUUACCCGCAGAAGAAGCACCGGCUAACUCCGUGCCAGCAGCCGCGGUAAUUC
rnacentral:rRNA from 1 species